GGAACUGGGUGCAGACAGCCUCACAGAAGAUGAAGAAACUGAAGUCUACAGGGUAUAGUUUGAUGCCACUUAGAAAGCUAUAAUGCUGACUGGAAAUGAGGAUCUUCCACAAAGUCCUAGGCAGAAUGAAGAGACCAGACUCAUGAGUUUGACAUUAAAAGAGAAGAAUCCUGCAAGAGUUAGAUUGAGAGAGCAAUGCACACACCCUCCUAACUUUAAAGCAUAGAGAGUACAAGACAUCUCAUGCUGAGGUAACUGCAGCAUGCAGCUCUGCCUGGGACAGACCUCAGCAAGUGUCUCUCACAGCACAGCUAAAGCACCUUGUCAUGGGAUGACUCAUAACAUUAGGCAAACCGAGAAUUCUUGGAAAGUUAUUUCUGAAGGAAUAUCCACAUUUUAAUGUCUUUAAAUGAAAC